AUGGGGGGACCAUCCUCCAAGGCUAAAUACUCCUGACUGACCGAUAGUGAACCAGUACCGUGAGGGAAAGGCGAAAAGAACCCCGGCGAGGGGAGUGAAAAAGAACCUGAAACCGUGUACGUACAAGCAGUGGGAGCACAGGUUUACCUGUGUGACUGCGUACCUUUUGUAUAAUGGGUCAGCGACUUAUAUUCUGUAGCAAGGUUAACCGAAUAGGGGAGCCGGAGGGAAACCGAGUCUUAAUUGGGCGUUAAGUUGCAGGGUAUAGACCCGAAACCCGGUGAUCUAGCCAUGGGCAGGUUGAAGGUUGGGUAACACUAACUGGAGGACCGAACCGACUAAUGUUGAAAAAUUAGCGGAUGACCUGUGGCUGGGGGUGAAAGGCCAAUCAAACCGGGAGAUAGCUGGUUCUCCCCGAAAGCUAUUUAGGUAGCGCCUCGUGAAUUCAUCUCCGGGGGUAGAGCACUGUUUCGGCUAGGGGGCCAUCCCGGCUUACCAACCCGAUGCAAACUGCGAAUACCGGAGAAUGUUAUCACGGGAGACACACGGCGGGUGCUAACGUCCGUCGUGAAGAGGGAAACAACCCAGACCGCCAGCUAAGGUCCCAAAGUCAUGGUUAAGUGGGAAACGAUGUGGGAAGGCCCAGACAGCCAGGAUGUUGGCUUAGAAGCAGCCAUCAUUUAAAGAAAGCGUAAUAGCUCACUGGUCGAGUCGGCCUGCGCGGAAGAUGUAACGGGGCUAAACCAU
rnacentral:rRNA from 1 species